rnacentral:lncRNA from 1 species
AAAGAGCCAGAAAUUGAGAGGGCAUCCAAAACAAAACCCUCGGGAAUAACAAAGUACCAGGUGUUGAUAGUGUUCAAUUAGGGACUCAGAAUUAUCAGUCUGAUUUUGUUAGUUGGGAGGAAGAAAUCACUGAAUACUAAGUAGUGGUCAUCACUAAUAAAGAUUUCAAUUGUAUAAAGAGCAAUUUAUUGUCUAACACGAUAAGAAAAUGGCUGGAACUAAUAUUCCCAUAGGCUAAGUAUUAUCUUCACCAUACCUGAUGGAGUUGCUCAUGAGUCACAGCUGGCCAGGCAGUCAUCAGUGAGAUGGAAAGGUGGCAACGUGUGUUGCUUAUGGGAAUGUGGUAAUUGUUGAUCUUUUGAAGCUGCUGUCUUCCAAGUCAUUUUGUUUUCUCUGUAAGUUUUAUGCUUCUUUAUGUCUGUGUUUUUUAUCUUGAUUUCAAACUACUAACUACUGUUUCUAACUACUAACUACUAUUCUUGAUUGCAAACUACUAAUGACUCAAAAGAUUUUGUUCCUUAUUUAUGCUUACUAAAAAGCAAUUCUUGCAAUUCUUUAGCUUGUAUGCUGUUUCUUUGUGUUAAUUCAUCAGUCAUUUUUUCCUUUGAGCUGAGCUGGAGUAAUUCAGCUGUGCUUUGUGGAAUUGGGCUUUAUAUAAGGGAUAGCUGAGGCUCAUUAAACAGGAUCCUGGAUUGUAUUCUAUCUACCUGCAAACCCAACAUGAUGAUAGCUGUUGCUUUGUUCCCCAUCCCACCUCCCCACGCCCCUGCAAUAAUACUGCAAAAUUCAUCUGUACAGUCUUCACUACAUUGUAUCACACAUGAGAGUCCAGCUAUUUCUUCCGUGGUACAAGUGCAUAUUAGAUAUGUGGAAGUGCCUAGAAGAACCACCUGGGACAUCUGGGUGAAGAUCCAUGUCAUCCCAGCCUCCAGCCUACUCUAGUACUUCUGGAGUACCUACUGCAAGUUAUGUUAGUUGCCU